UACGGAGGGAGCUAGCGUUAUUCGGAAUUACUGGGCGUAAAGCGCACGUAGGCGGCUUUGUAAGUUAGAGGUGAAAGCCUGGAGCUCAACUCCAGAAUUGCCUUUGAUACUGCAUGGCUUGAAUCCAGGAGAGGUGAGUGGAAUUCCGAGUGUAGAGGUGAAAUUCGUAGAUAUUCGGAAGAACACCAGUGGCGAAGGCGGCCAACUGGUCCGGUACUGACGCUGAGGUGCGAAAGCGUGGGUAGCAAACAGG
rnacentral:rRNA from 1 species